UCUCUCUGAGAGGGGCUGGAGUUAUACAGGUCAGUUGCCUCUGAACCACAGUAGCAGAAAGCUGGGCACCUGUUUGCACAUCUGGAGUAGCUGGGACGGGGCAGGCUCAGACAGGUGAGGCGAGAUUCCAGAGCCGUGACUGAGGAAGACCCAACAAGACUGGGAUGAGUUAAGAAGAUGGUAGAGCCCUGUGUAGCACUCCAGCUGGAGACGCUGAGCAGAUGGUGAUGCCUCUUAAGGACAUAUGGAAUCCUGAGGGAGGGGACCAGCAGCGAACCAGAGAGGAGAGUGGAUGAGUGCCAUUCUGGACAAGCUGAGACGCAGGAACCUGAGAACACACAAGAGGAGCAUCCAGUGGGCAGACAGCAUUACCUGUAACCUGUGAUGCCCUUGAGAACCCCAUCACUGCCUGAAUCUCUGUGAUAUUUGUCUGGACAAUAUGGAAAAGUGAAUUCUACUAAGAAGCCUCCAGAGGGUGAAGGAUGUAUGAAACAAAGAUGCAGAAAAGAGAAGAUACUAAAAGCCGAGAGAGUGUGGAGAGGUUCUUGCUGGUGAGUUCCGGGGCUAACCUGGGGCCUCUCAAAUUAGGAUUGCAAUCAACUCACGGGCACUUCAUGACUGACAUCUACUGCCACACACCAGUGUGGGCCACAGCAGGCAAAGGACUUCCUCAGAGACUCUUCAGGGAACAUCUGAGUAGAAAUGGAACUUUAAUAGUAUCUUGUCCAACUUUAGUCAUCUUCGGAUAAGGAACUUUAACUUCCUUAAGAUCUCAUUAUGUCUACGGAUGAACUCAACAGGUCAAUUCUGGGAAACGUAGUUUGAUCUCUUAAAACCACAAAGCAACAAGUCAACUCUAAGAAGGAGAUUCAUGAGGCAAUCUGGGAAACUGGAAGACUGUUCUUGAUGACAUUAAGAAACAAGUUUUUUUAGGGAUGAUAAUGUGUUGUAAACAAGUUUUCAAAAAAAAGAGUCCUUAGCUUUUAGAGAUGCACAGUGAAAUAUCCACAGUUUGCUUGAAAAUAAUGCAGCAGGAGUAGGGGACCCAUAGAUCAGGGUAUCAACAGAGUUAGGCUGGGUGUGAGCUGCUCAUUGUUGAAGCCGGCUGGUAGGUAACUGGAGUUCAUGAUACUGUUCCGUUUGUGUGUAAGUUUGGGAUUUUCCAUUAAAAACUCCAUGAAGCAUACACAUCUCAUUGCACAGACAAGCCAUCUAAUGUAAAUCUCUAAGUAUAAUAAGCAUUUUAUUCAUUCAUUCAAAAAAAUACAUAUAUAUUAAAUUAUGGUAAAACUCACAUAACAUAAAAUUUGCUAUUUUAACUAUUUUAAAGUG
rnacentral:lncRNA from 1 species